rnacentral:lncRNA from 10 species
GUUAAGUAUAGUUCAAGGGUAUGCAUAAGGCUAUCAAGUUAACAAAGGCUGGACUUGUCAUGGUUCAUUUUAGAUGUCAACUUGACUGUAUUAAGGAAUACCUAGAGAACUGGUAAAUCAUCACUUCUGGGUGUGUCUGUGAGGGUGUUUCCAGAGGAGACUGCUGUGUGACUCAGUGGACUGAGUAGGGAAGAUCUGCCCUCAAAGUGGCUGUGUGUAUAUGCACCAUCCAAUCAGCUGGCGGCCUAGAUAGAACAAAAAAGGAAAGGACAGAAUUUCCUCGAUGUUUCUCCUGGAGCUGGGACACUCUCUUCCUCCUGCCCUUGGAUAUCAGAACUGCAGGCUCUCUGGCCUGAGGACUCCAAAACUUACAUCAGCUGCUUGCUAGGUUCUCAGGCCUUUUGCCUUGGACUGAAAAUUACACCAUAAGCGUCCCUGGUUCUGAGGCUUCUGGACUUGGCUAGAGCCAUGUUUCUGGCAUCCCAGGGUCUCCAGCUUACAGACAGCCUGUCAUGGAACUUCUCAGCUUCCAUAAUCAUGUGAGCCAAUUCCCCUAAUAAAU